CUUUUGGACCGCGAGACCCUCCUGAAGCCCGACCCCUGCUGCAUCGUCAAGUGUUUGACCAACGGCGAGUGGGUAGAGCUCGACCGGACAGAGGUAAUAAAGAGUCACCUGAACCCCGUCUUUUCCAAGAUCUUCUGGGUGGAUUAUUACUUUGAGGAGAUGCAGCCCCUUCUGUUUGAGGUUUAUGACAGACCAAGUGAGGGAAUGACGCAGGCCAGUGAGGACGAUCUGCUGGGGGCUGCUGAGUGUACAUUGGGCCAGAUUGUCUCACAAACAAAAGUAACAAAGCCUCUGAUGCUGACAACAGGAAAAACUGCUGGAAAAUCAACAAU